GUGGGUUAUUGUCUAUGUUAUGUUGCUUGUUAGCACCGUGUUUCUUUGGCAGUCACGUUUGUCUUGUUUGUUUUAGUGUACUUCGUGUUUUUUCCCCCCGUCUUUCAUUAAAUCAUGUGUUAACACCACGCUGCGCUUUGGUCUACUCAAUACGACGAUCGUGACAAUUGCACUCCACGAGGAGCCUGCCUGUUAUGCGAAUGCAGUAAGAAGCCAAGGGCUCUCGAGAGGGUGGUGGGGUCUGCAAAAUGCAUUACCAGGGGCAAAGUACCUGACCUCCAGGACACCUACAGCACCUGAUGUCACAGGAAGGCCAAAAAGAUCAAGGACAACAACCACCCGAGCCCCUGCCUGUUCACCCCGGUACCAUCCAGAAGGCGAGCUGCUGGACUGUCCUCCUGGCAUGGGCUGUGUUAUUGGAACUCUGCAUCUUUGACGACAUGAUGGUCUCUACACCUGUGUUGAAACACACAUACUGGACUCAGUACUGUAUAACACUAUGGAAAAGAAUGACUGACAAUAAAUUAAUGAAUUAAUAAAUGAAUAUUGGAUAUACCUUCCACAAUUCUG